UUUAUGUUUUAGUCAAGGACUUCCCUAACUCGAGAAUGUAGCAUUGUAAAGUUGGAUUUGCCUACUUGUUGAAACACUGUCAUUGUUACCCUGAAAUAGAUGUUUCUUGAUUUCUCUUGAUGGUACCAGAACUCUGUGGCAAGUUAGGGACUGACUGGCUUAUAUGGAACAUCUGUAGCUCUGAAGAAAGAAACUAAUAGGGAAGUGAAUAGAAAGUAGAGAUCAGGGAAGGAAGAUUUGAAGGGGGCAGUGGUUAUACUGAUAGAAACAUACUGGGAGAGAGUUGGGACCCUCGAUCUAAGGUAUAAAGUGACAAGCAGUCCUGGAAAGCCCCUGGCAAAUUCCAUAUUAA
rnacentral:lncRNA from 1 species